rnacentral:misc_RNA from 1 species
GAAAUGCGAUAAGUAGUGUGAAUUGCAGAAUUCAGUGAAUCAUCGAAUCUUUGAACGCACAUUGCGCCCUUUGGUAUUCCUUAGGGCAUGCCUGUUCGAGCGUCAUCUAAACCUUCAAGCCCUGCUUGGUGUUGGGUGCCUGUCCCGCCUCCGCGCGCGGACUCACCUCAAAUCCAUUGGCGGCCCCCGCGUCGGCCACGAGCGCAGCAGAAACGCGAACUCGUGAGCCCGUCCGGGCGGCUCCCAGAAGCUACACCCACCCAGCUUGACCUCGGAUCAGGUAGGGAUACCCGCUGAACUUAAGC